AGUGAACGCUGGCGGUAGGCCUAACACAUGCAAGUCGAACGGCAGCACAGUAAGAGCUUGCUCUUACGGGUGGCGAGUGGCGGACGGGUGAGGAAUACAUCGGAAUCUACUUUUUCGUGGGGGAUAACGUAGGGAAACUUACGCUAAUACCGCAUACGACCUACGGGUGAAAGCAGGGGAUCUUCGGACCUUGCGCGAUUGAAUGAGCCGAUGUCGGAUUAGCUAGUUGGCGGGGUAAAGGCCCACCAAGGCGACGAUCCGUAGCUGGUCUGAGAGGAUGAUCAGCCACACUGGAACUGAGACACGGUCCAGACUCCUACGGGGAGCAGCAGUGGGGAAUAUUGGACAAUGGGCGCAAGCCUGAUCCAGCCAUACCGCGUGGGUGAAGAAGGCCUUCGGGUUGUAAAGCCCUUUUGUUGGGAAAGAAAAGCAGCAGGUUAAUACCCCGCUGUUCUGACGGUACCCAAAGAAUAAGCACCGGCUAACUUCGUG
rnacentral:rRNA from 1 species